AUGCCUGUAUAGUUCAUGAGCAUCAUGAUUGGAUGUUCACAUGUAUGUGUGAGAUGUGCCACCCUUGAACCUCAUGAGACGUUGGCACAUUAUCUGUCAGACU